GGCAACGCCUCUCUUCUCUUCUCUCUCUCUCUCUUCUCUCU
rnacentral:sRNA from 1 species